UACGUAGGGUGCAAGCGUUGUCCGGAAUUAUUGGGCGUAAAGAGCUCGCAGGCGGUCUGUCGCGUCGGAUGUGAAAACCCGGGGCUCAACUCCGGGCUUGCAUUCGAUACUGGCAGGCUAGAGUUCGGUAGGGGAGUCUGGAAUUCCUGGUGUAGCGGUGAAAUGCGCAGAUAUCAGGAGGAACACCGGUGGCGAAGGCGGCAUCCUGGACCGGCAUUGACGCUGAGGCGCGAAAGCCAGGGGAGCAAACGGG
rnacentral:rRNA from 1 species